rnacentral:tRNA from 1 species
GCCUGGGUGGCUCAGUUGGUUGAGCGUCUGACUUUGGCUCAGGUAAUGAUUUCAUGGUCCGUGAGUUCGAGCCCUGUGUCGGGCU